UACGUAGGGUGCAAGCGUUAAUCGGAAUUACUGGGCGUAAAGCGUGCGCAGGCGGUUUGUUAAGUCUGUCGUGAAAGCCCCGGGCUUAACCUGGGAAUUGCGAUGGAGACUGCAAGGCUUGAAUCUGGCAGAGGGGGGUAGAAUUCCACGUGUAGCAGUGAAAUGCGUAGAGAUGUGGAGGAACACCGAUGGCGAAGGCAGCCCCCUGGGUCAAGAUUGACGCUCAUGCACGAAAGCGUGGGGAGCAAACAGG
rnacentral:rRNA from 1 species